GAUGAACGCUGGCGGCGUGCCUAAUACAUGCAAGUCGAGCGAACAGACGAGGAGCUUGCUCCUCUGACGUUAGCGGCGGACGGGUGAGUAACACGUGGAUAACCUACCUAUAAGACGGGGAUAACUUCGGGAAACCGGAGCUAAUACCGGAGAAUAUAUUGAACCGCAUGGUUCAAUAGUGAAAGACGGUUUUGCUGUCACUUAUAGAUGGAUCCGCGCCGCAUUAGCUAGUUGGUAAGGUAACGGCUUACCAAGGCGACGAUGCGUAGCCGACCUGAGAGGGUGAUCGGCCACACUGGAACUGAGACACGGUCCAGACUCCUACGGGAGGCAGCAGUAGGGAAUCUGCCGCAAUGGGCGAAAGCCUGACGGAGCAACGCCGCGUGAGUGAUGAAGGUCUUCGGAUCGUAAAGCUCUGUUAUUAGGGAAGAACAAAUGUGUACGUAACUAUGCACGUCUUGACGGUACCUAGUCAGAAAGCCCCGGCUAACUACGUG
rnacentral:rRNA from 1 species